CAAAAUACAAAUCAAAACAUCAUCAUAAUUAAUACUAAUCCAUUGUAACUUCACACAAACCUAGCUAGCUCCUAAGCUUUCUCAUCGGCAUCACCAUAAUCUACCUCAGGAUUAUAUAGGUCAAGAAAACAAGUUGCCCAGCGGUUUCGCAAAUCAUACAGCUCCUCCUCUGUUAAUGUCGUGGGAUCAUUGAACACCUACAAUAUGUAAAUAUAUAAUUACUUAUACAUACAUGGCCCAAAUCCAUUACGUAUACAUGAUCAACUUAUUCAUAUAUAUAAUAAACAUACAUUCAGGUAGUAUCAUACUUCAUUAUACAUAUGGGCACUUAGUGUUAGUCAUAAGUUAGCAACUAAUUAAAUAAUUUCUACCUUGUCCUAGUACUAACUCCAUCCCAUUCCUAAGUUCCAAAUUAAUGAAAAUUAUAUUAUGAUGUUGUACUAAUAAUUAUGGGCACCUACAUGAUCUAAAAUCGCACAAAAUGUAAGACAAAGUGAGCUAAGGCUGCUGCCUCGAGCGCCCCAUGAAGGGUGUAGUGCGCCCGCGCAAUUGGCAACAUUGAACCUGCAGAAUUCUGCAGAAAAGAAACAAAUGGUGAAAGAGAAACAAUAUAUGAAACCUGGUAGACAUUAUUAUCAGGUAAACCAUGUUAAUUUUUCCUAGCAUAAAAUUUGAAAGAGAAAUGUAAGCAAAUGUGUUUGGGAAGACCCUAUUUCUAAUUAGUGAAAUGGUAAAAUCAAAAUCAAAAUCAAAAUUAAAGAUAGCAAAAUUCCCGUAGAACCAACUAUUUACUCACCAUGUCAGAGCAACCAUGAAUAACAUCUAAGCUACUCAUUUUAAAAUGCCUAAAACUAUAAAAUAAGGUAUUGUAACAUUCUAUCCAACAAAAACCCCACUUAGGCAUAAAUUUUCAACAACCAAAUUCAUCAUCAAUGUGUUGUUCUUCUUUAACAAUCAGUUUCAAUACAAGGAAGCAGAUUCAAACCAAGAUGUGAUAAGGGACCUCGUUCAACUAAUCAACAACAUAAAAAGUAACCAAUUCAAGUCAUGCAUACUAUAUUUCAUAAAUUAGCAUACUUGUCAAUGGAAUAAUAGGCAAUAUAGUCUACUCUAUGCAUGGCCAAUUGUACCUACUUAUCAGAAUGCAGUAUCUUUCUGUUAUCACUGAAAACUUACCUUUAUAGAGUAUAACUUAUAUUUAAAUUAUACGAUGCAGAUUACAAUAUUCUAGUGAAAUGUACCCACUUAUAAGAAAACUAUGAGGGAUACUACAUUACUACGAAGUGCUUCCGCAAAAUCAAUCAAUCUUUGCUUCUCUUGUACCUGUAAUAGGAACAAACAGGUAAGCAAAUCCAUAGUUUCAGCCGAAGAAAAAAUUCAAGUCAUUGAGUACAAAAACAAACUGUGAAAUAGCAGAAUUCAACAAAUUGUGACUACUAAAAGUCUAAAACUAACUCUUUUGUAAAAAAAAAGAGAGUCUAAAACUAACUAAAAAAACAGAAAAAAGCCGCAGAGCCUUAGUGUUAUGAAAGCCAAAAUUGCAUCAAAACCUAGUCCUACAAGCUGAAAUCAAAGAGACAUAACAAAAUCAAACUACUACCUGAAAANNNNNNNNNNNNNNNNNNNNNNNNNNNNNNNNNNNNNNNNNNNNNNNNNNNNNNNNNNNNNNNNNNNNNNNNNNNNNNNNNNNNNNNNNNNNAAAAGAGUCAUAGUGGCUGAUUAUACCAGAGUAAAUGUAGAAGACAAACCUUGUUGAAGAGAUGCUAUUAGUCAAUGACUGGAUCAAAAACCAUAUGACCCCUGUUAACAAACACUAGUAGAAAAAACACUUUUAUUGUGUUAAUAUUAUUAGGCUUUCUCCAAAACUAGUACAUGAGAAGCAAGGCAGGACAAACUACAGACUGAAACAAGGAUUUAAAUACGGUGAUUUGCAUUUCACUUCAAAUAACAAUACAAUAUACAUGGUUCUAACUCAUCAAGCCAGUAAUAACAAUCAUGGACUCGCUAACGUAAUUUCCAACUUUAUGGAUCUAAAUCCAGUAGCCAAAAUCAAAGACUGAUAANNNNNNNNNNNNNNNNNNNNNNNNNAUUAUGAUAAAUAUAAAAUCACUGUGAAGAGCUUCAAAUUUAACCAUUUUUCAUUACUUCCAUUUCCUGACUGUUGAAUCUGCCUCCAAAAUACUAUCUUUUGUAUUAGAUUAAAUUUGAAACAUCCACCCUACGUUUUACACCAUACCAAAUUUACUUUUAAAGUUAAAAAUGUAAACUUUAGUUCAAUUUAAAUUAGAUUUUACAGAAAGCAAUAUACAACACCAUAAGGAAAACAAAACUAGAUCCGCAAACACACCCACCACCGUUUCAUACAUAGAUAACAAUAAAGAAAAUCGAAACCCUUUCGAAUAAACUAGAUCCGCAAACACACCCACCACCAUUUCAUACAUAGAUAACAAUAAAGAAAAUCGAAAUCCUUAAAUUUGAAAUCCAAAUAUAGAUAACAAUAAAGAAAACAUAAACAAAUUUGAGAAUAGAAUCGGUACCUGUUUGUGUUUUCAGUUGUAGGGAGAGGAGCGAGCUGAGAAAAUNN
rnacentral:lncRNA from 1 species